rnacentral:rRNA from 1 species
GAUGAACGCUAGCGGCAGGCCUAACACAUGCAAGUCGAGGGGCAGCACGAUUGAGCUUGCUCAAUUGGUGGCGACCGGCGCACGGGUGCGUAACGCGUAUGCAACCUACCCUGUACUGGGGUAUAGCCCGAAGAAAUUCGGAUUAAUCCCCCAUAAAACAGGGGCACCGCAUGGUGAUAUUUGUUAAAGAAAUUCGCUGAUAGAUGGGCAUGCGUUCCAUUAGGUAGUUGGUGAGGUAACGGCUCACCAAGCCGACGAUGGAUAGGGGAACUGAGAGGUUGGUCCCCCACACUGGUACUGAGACACGGACCAGACUCCUACGGGAGGCAGCAGUGAGGAAUAUUGGUCAAUGGGCGGGAGCCUGAACCAGCCAAGUCGCGUGAAGGAAGAAGGAUCUAUGGUUCGUAAACUUCUUUUGCAGGGGAAUAAAGUGCGGGACGUGUCCUGUUUUGUAUGUACCCUGAGAAUAAGGAUCGGCUAACUCCGUG